AAUAGUUAUCCUUGCCUCAUACACUAAUUGAAAGCACAGGGAUCUCUCAGAGGGUACUUUCUGUUUCUGCACCAGAGCUCCUCCAAAAACCGUCACAACGGCAGCAAAUUAAACCAGGGGAGUUUGAGAAGCCGGGGCAUCGUGAACAGGGCCAAGACUGUCCCAAGCUGACUUCAUGUGGUGAGGUUUCUACCUUGCUAAAGAACGUUUCUGCUGAGCUUUCUAUUCUUCAUUCACUCCAAUUAAACUGCAGUGAUUCACCAGUUAUUACCACCACAGCCAUACACGUGUUGAAGAGAAGAUCAUGAUUAUAAUCUGCACAAUUACCGACGGCUAGAUAGCAUGCCUACACACGGUGUUUUGAAAAACAGCUUCAUUUCCGAUGGAGAUCAGGACAGCAAUAAAAGAGUUCCACAGUCUCUUCACUAAAUACAUCUUUGUUUGCAUGGUCUGUGUAUACUGUCAUGGGGCAGGUGCGGGAAAAUGUAAAAUAUAAAUAUUUAAAAUCCAA